AGAGCAUCUUUCAGGUUGAAUUUUCCACAAUAUGACGUUUUGAAAAAGUCCGAGAGACACUGUGGCAUAAAUAAAAGCUUCUUAAAAUUUCAUUUUUUGUAAUUGCACUUAAUUCAGCUCGUCUGCGAUCCAGUGCUUUAAAAAACAUAACUUUUCCUGUCACGUGAUACGUGACGUCAUGUAAGGUAAACGAGCCCAUACGCCAGCGGCUAUCAGCUCAGUUUACCGUAGGCAUCGGCUGUGUUUUUUACUCCAGACUUCUAAUAGUAAAACUAAAGAUUUCUGGAACAUCACCAUGGUGAAUACUUGUGUUUGUGCAUCCUGCACAAAUUCAAGUCUCUCUGGACAUCGUGUCCACAGUUUCCCUAACAAGAAGAGCCCCACCUUUCGCUCCUGGGUCAGGUUUGUCCAGGCUAGGCGCCAAGACUUCACUUUCAAGUCCGUUCAUCCCAAAAACUCCGUCAUUUGCAGCGCACACUUUGUGGAAACGGACUAUAUGCCUAGUGACCUAACUGCGUUUAAGAUGGGGUACAAGACCAUGAGGUCAGUGCGUUUAAGGUCUGAUGCAGUUCCCACUGUUCAUGCUACGGCUAGCAUGCUAGCAGCAGCAGGUGCCCCAUCACGUCUGCCUUCACCGGGGAAGCCGCGGGCCGCCCAUCGGAAACGGGAGACGAGCAGAGUCAGGCCAUCUGAAACCUUGGUAGACACCAUGUUCAUCAGGGAAAGCUAACCGGAUUGCUGAGACAACACAUGCUGGAAGAGGUUUCCUCACAUGUCGUCCAAGCACUCCAUGUGCCCAGCGUACCAUCUGCCUGUAGGCAGUAUACCUGAACUGUUCAUUUUGGGUCAGAUCAAGUGGACCAUGUUCCUGCUUGAAAGCGCUGUAGGCCACCUGAAGCACCCAGGGGUUCAAACAGCAUGCAGAGAACCCAGGAUGCUGUCCCACACAAGUAAUGCCUUCGGGUUGUGGAUGGAGGUCUUCGACGAGGCUCCAAAUUGCAGGAAUCUCCCUGCAGCAUAUGCUCUCCUCCGCACUGCUCAUGGGCUGACAGUGUCCACAUAAACACCUGUAAUUAGAUAACAUGCUGUUAAAGAAUUUCUGUUGUUAAAUGUAGAUACAGUGUUGUAAAUAUAUGUUCAACCAUGUAAAGAUUUUUAUUUUUUUUACUUUUACAUACAGGCUUUAAAAAUUAAAUGUUUAUAUUUCAUCCGUAGUCAUAGCUGCUUAUAACAUGCUGAAACAUUUCAUGUAAUACAUAAAGCUGAGAUGCCCUUUU